CAUAAUCAUUUGUCCACUAAUUAUGGACUAGCAUGAAAGGCAAAAUGAGGGUUUAACUGUCUCUUAUAGUAAGUCAAUUAAACUGAUCUACCAGUAAAAAAGCUGGAAUAAACACACAAGACCAGAAGACCCUGUGAAGCUUAAACUAAACUAUUAAACCACAUAAUAACUACUUUCGGUUGGGGCGACCUUGGAAAAUAAAAGAACUUCCAAACUAGUGACAAUCAAUCACCCCCAGGCCAACAAGCCACAUAUGACCCAGCACACCUGAUAAUUGAACCAAGUUACUCCAGGGAUAACAGCGCCAUCUUCUUCAAGAGUCCAUAUCAAAAAGAAGGUUUACGACCUCGAUGUUGGAUCAGGACAUCCUAA
rnacentral:rRNA from 1 species